GGAUGCGAUCAUACCAGCACUAAAGCAACGGAUCCCAUCAGAACUCCGAAGUUAACCGUGCUUGGGCGAGAGUAGUACUAGGAUGGGUGACCUCCUGGGAAGUCCUCGUGUUGCAUUCC
rnacentral:rRNA from 1 species